rnacentral:rRNA from 1 species
GAUUAUGGCUCAGGAUGAACGCUAGCUACAGGCUUAACACAUGCAAGUCGAGGGGCAGCAUUAUCGAAGCUUGCUUUGAUAGAUGGCGACCGGCGCACGGGUGAGUAACGCGUAUCCAACCUUCCCCUUAGUAGGGCAUAGCCCGUAGAAAUGCGGAUUAAUACCCUAUGUUGUAUUAUGAGGACAUCUGAAUAAUACCAAAGGUUCACCGCUAAGGGAUGGGGAUGCGUCUGAUUAGGUUGUUGGCGGGGUAACGGCCCACCAAGCCAUCGAUCAGUAGGGGUUCUGAGAGGAAGGUCCCCCACAUUGGAACUGAGACACGGUCCAAACUCCUACGGGAGGCAGCAGUGAGGAAUAUUGGUCAAUGGGCGAGAGCCUGAACCAGCCAAGUAGCCGUGCAGGAUGACGGCCCUAUGGGUUGUAAACUGCUUUUAUGCGGGGAUAAAGUGAGGGACGUGUCCCUUUUUGUAGGUACCGCAUGAAUAAGGACCGGCUAAUUCCGUGCCAGCCGCUGC